UACGGAGGGUGCGAGCGUUGUUCGGAUUUACUGGGCGUAAAGCGUAUGUAGGCGGUUUGUUAAGUCGAAUGUGAAAUAUUGAGGCUCAACCUCGAAACUGCACUCGAUACUGGCAAACUAGAGGGCAAUAGAGGAGGGUAGAAUUCCCAGUGUAGCGGUGAAAUGCGUAGAUAUUGGGAGGAAUACCGGUUGCGAAGGCGACCCUCUGGGUUGUUCCUGACGCUGAGGUACGAAAGCGUGGGGAGCAAACGGG
rnacentral:rRNA from 1 species